rnacentral:lncRNA from 1 species
GCCUCCCAGUUUCAAGUGAUUCUUGUGCCUCAGCCUCCUAAGUAACUGGGACUGCAGGCGCCCACCACCAUACCCAGCUAAUUUUUGUAUUUUUAGUAGAGUCGGGGUUUUGCCAUGUUGGCCAGACUGGUCUCGAACUCCUGACCUCAGGUGAUCCAACCGCCUUGGCCUCCCAAAGUGCUGAGAUUAACAGGAGUAAGCCACCACACGCGGCCAAACUGAUUAUAUUUAUAUACUUGUGUCAUAGAUGAAAUAAAGAAAGCGAACAAAGGAGAAUGGAAAUAUCAGUGUGAGAAAUAGGUUGUUUGAGAAAUGAUUAAUGUUGUUAACUGUGAACAAUAAAGAAAAAGCAGGAGUUACUUUGCAUUUUCUUCUCCUCAUCCUUCUACCCAAGGCACAAGAAUGGAGAUAGAAAGAUUUUGGCCUUUCAUUUCCCUACCCAACCACCAAGUGGUGCUGUCAGGCAGGAACAGUUUAGUUGCUGGCCAGAGCUCUUGGCAUGUGGGAAGAUAGAGAAGCAGAAAUAAUGUGUCUGUUCUUUUUUUAGUUUUUUUAGAGAUGGGGCCUUGCCGUGUUGCCCAGGCUGGUCUUGAACUCCUGGCCUCAAGCGAUCCUUCCAAGUCAUUGAAAUUGCCGGUCUGAGCCAUUAUGCCUGGCUCUGAAAGAAGAUACUUUUGAGUAUAUAGCACUAGUUGCAGAGGGAAUGUUUGUGUAUCUGUAAUGGAUAAAUUAUAUGUAGGAAAUACACUUUAAAUCCUCACUAAUGAAUGAAAAUAUUAAACUGGUAUGGAGUCAUAGGAUGGGCACUGGGUGUGGAGUCAGGGCUGGAUUUCAUUUCUAACGCCUCCACUUCAUACUCACAUAUCCUUGGCUGCUUUAUUUAACUUAUUUAAAACCUAGUUCUCUUCUCUGUAAAAUGUGGCUAAGAAUGUCCUUCCUUGCCUCUUUACUCCAGUUGUGAUCCAGUGAGAUUAUGCUCAUGAAACAACCUUGCACUUUUCUAGUGUAAAACGGCAUAUGCAUUUCCCGAAGUGUUAUACUUAUUUCUUAAUCUAGAAAAGUGAAGGUGUGGGCCAGAUGACUUCUGAGGGAGUUUCUCUUCUCAAAUUCUGACAGUCAGAGUGGCCUAGGUUUUAAGUGAUCAUGUUCUUCCUCAUCAACAGUUUGCUGAUGUCGCUGACUCAAGAAAGAAGAACACAGAGGCCUAUUCUAGGCUCUGCUCCUGAUUUGCUGAACACUUUGUGCCUAGUUUCUACUUCAAGGGACAACGGAGGAACCCAUGAAACACUAGGAACCAAGGAGCUUCUUAGUAUUCAACCUGGCUGUUGAGUUAAUGUGAUCAUAUAAUUUGUCACCUAACCUAGAACACUGAAGAAUAAAAGGAGUGCUAUUAAUAAUUACACCAGGGGAGGCCGAGGCAGGUGGAUCACCUGAGGUCAGGAGUUCAAGAGCAGCCUGGCCAACAUGGCAAAACCCCAUCUCUACUAAAAGUACAAAAAUUAGCCAGAUGAGGUGGUGGGGGCCUGUAGUCCCAGCUACUCAGGAGGCUGAGGCAGGAGAAUUACUUGAACCCAGGAGGCAGAGAUUGUAGUGAGCCAAGAUCACACCACUGCACUCCAACCCGGGUGAUAGAGCAGGACUCUGUCUCAAAAUAAUAAUAAUAAUAAUAAUAAUAAUAAUAAUAAUAAUAAUAACACCAGUACAACAGGCAUACAUCAGAAGAGUUCCAGGCAAACCUGGAUAUCGGGUCCCCUUAUUAUACAUAAAAUGUUAAAUUUCUCACUUAGGUAGAGAAUAGUAAAAAUGCCCCGGUUGCACCUAGGUAUCACUGUUGCUGUUAGGGAUAAGCAAAAUGCAGGUCUGUUAGGAUGCUGGAGGAAAGAACAACAUAUACUUAACCACAGUGAUGAACAGGAGGCUGUCUUUCACUCUUAAAAAUGCAUAGUGUUGCAGCUCUGUGGUUAAAGGCAAGAGGAAAAUAGCUUCAAAUUUCCUGAUCUUUCAUUUUUAUUGCAACUUGAAUAUGUAGGAUAGGAAUCUGUCUGGUAGACUGAGUUAUGCUUGGGCCUCUGCCUGCUUUGGUUAUUGUCAAUAUGGUUGUGCUAAUGCUUAGUAAGUGUGAAUAUCCAUUACAUCUCCAACAGAGUCAAUCCUAUGAUCAAAUAUAAACAGAGAAACAAAAACGGCUUGUCCUAGAGAUUUCCAUGGGGCACAGCCACGCACUCAGGGCUUUUCAAACCAGGUAAUAGAGAAGGGGUCAGAUUUGUCAAACAAAUUGUAUUAUCAAAUCUCUUUGAAAAUGUCUAAUGUCCUAAUACACCAAGAAAUGAGGCAAAUAGAAUUCUGAUAUGGGAAAAUGUCUCAAUAUUUUCUAAAGAGAACCUUUAAACCAGAAGAGAAAUGUGUACUACUAAGCUUGGAAGCAAAUAACAAAAGGAUCAACUUUCUAAAUAGUUUGCAGAGAGGAAAAAUGGCUCAAAUAAGUUUAAAUGGCAGCUAAUAAAUAUUCCUUUUAUGUUUUGGAGUACGUUAUUAAUUUUUGAUUGCCCAUUUAACUUCUUUUGUUUAGGAGAACAUUAAUUAGAUUAAUUAGGUCAAUACGCUGAAGGAUAGAGAGAUGUAUUUGUUGCACGGAAGAGGAAGGGUGCUCAAAAGCUUAAAUGAUGAUAGAAAUCAGUUUGGUAGUUUAAAAAAAUCUAAUACAGGCCGGGCGUAGUGGCUCACGCCUGUAAUCCCAGCACUUUGGGAGGCUGAGGCGAGCGGAUUACUUGAGGUCAGGAGUUCGAGACCAGCCUGACCAACAUGGUGAAACCCUGGCUGUACUAAAAAUACAAAAAUUAGCCAGGCAUGAUGGCAGGUGCCUGCAAUCUCAGCUACUCGGGAGGCUGAGGUAGGAGAAUCGCUUGAACCCGGGAGGCGGAGGUUGCAAUGAGCCGAGAUUGUGCCGUUGCACUCCAGCCUGGGUGAAAAAAAAAAAAAAUCAAAU